AUAGAUUUAUUUAAUUAAUAAUAAAUAAAUAUCUAAAUUUAAUAAGUAUAUCAUUUACAAUGAUAAGAUGUUUAUAAAACUUUAUUUAAAUU
rnacentral:tRNA from 1 species